UUUUUAAGAUUUUUUUUCGUUCACGGUAAUUUGGGNAUCCNGCUUUCGCGUCGAGACGGGUAAUAUCACGGGGCCCGGGGUGUCGGGCUGGGGAAAUUGCGUUAAUUGAGUCGCUUAAAAGCCGGAAGUUGAAAACUCUAGACUAGUCUCGAGGAGAGAAAUCGAGUCGCUUUUAWAUAUGGCC
rnacentral:misc_RNA from 1 species